rnacentral:rRNA from 1 species
UACGUAGGGUGCAAGCGUUAAUCGGAAUUACUGGGCGUAAAGCGUGCGCAGGCGGUUAUGUAAGACAGAUGUGAAAUCCCCGGGCUCAACCUGGGAACUGCAUUUGUGACUGCAUAGCUAGAGUACGGUAGAGGGGGAUGGAAUUCCGCGUGUAGCAGUGAAAUGCGUAGAUAUGCGGAGGAACACCAGUGGCGAAGGCGACACGCUGGGCCGUACCUGACACUGAUGCGCGACAGCAUGGGGAGCAAACAGG